rnacentral:rRNA from 1 species
UAAUACAGAGGGGGCGAGCGUUAUUCGGAAUUAUUGGGCGUAAAGGGCGCGUAGGCGGCGAUUCAAGUGACGGGUGAAAUCCCUCGGCUUAACCGAGGAACUGCCUGUCAGACUGGAUUGCUUGAGGCCGGGAGAGGCGAGUGGAAUUCCCAGUGUAGCGGUGAAAUGCGUAGAUAUUGGGAGGAACACCAGUGGCGAAGGCGGCUCGCUGGACCGGUUCUGACGCUGAGGCGCGAAAGCGUGGGGAGCAAACAGGAUUAGAUACCCUGGUAGUCCACGCCGUAAACGAUGAGUGCUUGGUGUAGCGGGUAUCGACCCCUGCUGUGCCGAAGUCAACACAUUAAGCACUCCGCCUGGGGAGUACGGUCGCAAGACUG